UGGGGAAUAUUGCACAAUGGGCGAAAGCCUGAUGCAGCAACGCCGCGUGAGGGACGACGGCCUUCGGGUUGUAAACCUCUUUUAGCAAGGAAGAAGCGAAAGUGACGGUACUUGCAGAAAAAGCGCCGGCUAACUACGUGCCAGCAGCCGCGGUAAUACGUAGGGCGCAAGCGUUAUCCGGAAUUAUUGGGCGUAAAGAGCUCGUAGGCGGUUUGUCGCGUCUGCUGUGAAAACCCGAGGCUCAACCUCGGGCCUGCAGUGGGUACGGGCAGACUAGAGUGCGGUAGGGGAGAUUGGAACUCCUGGUGUAGCGGUGGAAUGCGCAGAUAUCAGGAAGAACACCGAUGGCGAAGGCAGAUCUCUGGGCCGUAACUGACGCUGAGGAGCGAAACGGGUGGGGAGCAAACAGGCUUAGAUACCCUGGUAGUCACCCCGUAAACGUUGGGAACUAGUUGUGGGUCCAUUCCACGGAUUCCGUGACGCAGCUAACGCAUUAAGUUCCCCGCCUGGGGAGUACGGCCGCAAGGCU
rnacentral:rRNA from 1 species